GGGCACAUGGCGCAACGGUAGCGCGCCUGCAUGGCAUGCAGGAGGCUGGGGGUUCGAAUCCCCCUGUGUCCA
rnacentral:tRNA from 1 species